ACCAUUUCAUCUAUUUUGCUUUUUUGAUACUUUGUGUAACAUUUGUCACUUUUGUGUAACAUUUUUCACACGCGUGUAUAACAAUUGUCACUUUUGUGUAACAAAAGUUUUCUCCCAAUGAAUACCUUCUCCAUUUAGCAACAUUCCAUUGAAUGAUGCAACCGUCUUUUAUUUUUUUCGCAAAAAAACGCCUGAUUUGUGAUCCUCCUGAGGUUAUUAUCCUCGCCGCAUUUGUUUUUCAAUUUUUUCAUAUUUUUGCUAGACCCUAGUAGGGUCACCCUACUGGUCAUGCUGUAAUCUGGAGACCGUCCCCGAUCAGAAAUGGUGGGUGCUUCACACACGACCACUGUCGCACAGUGUAUAUAUAUUAAUUGAAUAGUUUGAAUUAAACAUUUGACACGAAAAUAUUUUGUGCGUUUCAGGGGUAAUAUAAAUGUGUGAAAUGUGACAUAUUGUAUCUUCACUCGGUGAUAUAAAAAUAAGCAUACGGUUGCACAAAAAAAUAAUAAUAAUAGUGACUGCACCGUACAGCGUUCCUUCGCUUGAUGGUUUAAUUUUAUCUGCAUCCAUAAAAAUAAUCGAAGUGACACACUAGUCCGGUUCCAAAUCAGUGUUUCAAAUGUUUCAUUGUCAAUUCAUUCAAUUACAAUUACCACUAAAUAAUGCAAAUAAAAAAUUCUGAAAUUCUGAGGUUAUCAAUAGUUGUUUGAAUUAACACAACGGUAACCCAUGUCAUCAAUCGAUUUUUGGUAUACAGGAUGUUAUGUAAUUCAUAGACCAUGGAGAGUGCAGAAAUGAAUGGAAAUAGACACAAGUGAACUACGAACAACGAACAAAUAUACACGGGCACACUGUUUAAAUACAGAGAUUUUAUUUGAUAUCGAAAGAGCAGUUUUUAUUUCAGUCGAUUUCAUAACAAAAAGGAGAAUGUAAUAUGACAUUUUGGGCAAAUGGAAAAUGCAGAUCUAAUUACGAUCCUAUUUUCAAAACGAGGCGUGAAAACAACGAUUCACUUCUAUAAUGUUGCAGCUACUCCAUCAAUAAACUUAUCCAAUUCAGAUAAAAGUUCUUUAUUUUUCACCUCAUUCCGCCUUUUAAUAAAUGUAGACAGAGCAUCACUAGAAUAAAAUUCAAAUGAAUUUAAUAUUGAAAAUGAAUAAAAUUCUUUUAUUUUAACUCUAUCACAUACCAUUGUUUCUUUAAACGACUGAGCACAUCUUUUCGUUUUUUUAAGCUCCUCAAAAUAUAUAAUCAAAUCAUCACCUUUGGAAUCAUGCCUUUAAGUUAAAGUUAACAUUUUAAAUAAUGAUAGCAUAAGGAGAUCAUAUUUUUUGAACUUACAUCUUUUUAACCGCUUCUCGUCUCAACGCUCCACCUGCUUUAGUGAAUUUCGAUAUUUGUGUAUUGAAUUCUGAUUCGCGCUUGGAUCUCUUUGGUCUAUGGGAAUCUGGACUCAGAGUCGAUUCGGAAGUUGAAUUUGAAUCAGUUAGAUCAUUCAGCGAACCAUUGAUAACUGGAGAAAGCUUUUUCUUUGAUGCAUUUUUCGCAGUUGUAUCACGCGAUUCAAAUUCUUCACUGAAAAAAAAAAUUGCAAUAAAUGUAAUUUUGAAAUUACGAAGAAAAAUUUGUGCAAUACUAACAUAAGCUUGGAUAACGAAUCAUUAGUUUCUUUGAUAAGUUCAAUCAAAUACGCCCUUUCUCCACAAAUCGAUCAUCAAUUCCACCUAAUCGGCUGUCAAACAGAAGAAAAUGUGAAAAAAAUAUUACAAAUAUAUAUAAACAUUGCUUUUCAAAAAACUUACACACACAUAAUUUUCAUUUGAGUUUCAACAUCUAUAGAGGCAAGAUCCAAACAUAUUACCUUGCUCAUUUUUCGACGCGGUGUUCCACAUGUAGAUAUAAAUCCAAUUUGACCAGACGAUGUCGAGGAUUGAUUAAUGGAUGUGGUCAUUGUUUUUGAAUUUUUUUCUUUCAACUAUUCCGAACAAAAUAUGUAAUGAAUAUAAUAAUAUAAAUUUUGAAUCAUC